CCUACGGGAGGCAGCAGUGGGGAAUCUUGCACAAUGGGCGCAAGCCUGAUGCAGCGACGCCGCGUGAGGGAUGACGGCCUUCGGGUUGUAAACCUCUUUCGGCAGGGACGAAGCGAUCAGUGACGGUACCUGCAGAAGAAGUCCCGGCUAACUACGUGCCAGCAGCCGCGGUAAU
rnacentral:rRNA from 1 species